rnacentral:lncRNA from 1 species
CGCAAGACUGCAAGAAGACUGCAAGCCUCUGUGGUAAAAAAAACACCUCGAAGGCAAGGCUGAGGCUGGAGCAGUGCCAGGAUGUGCCCUCGCCGGCUGGCUCCUCUCUGCCCCUGUACUUCCCUUCCCUGGGGAUGAAGGCGUGGAAAUCUACAGAGCCCUUCUCCUCAGCAAGUCCUGCACAAGAUUAGUCCUGGCAGAGCCUGUGCUUGGGCAAGUCAAUCUGACUAAACUCGGUGCUCGCACAACAGAAGACAUGGAAGCAGGAGGGGUGGGGCCUCAUGGGCGCCUCUUCCAUCCAUGAUGAAAUGAGCAAAUGAAUAUAAUAAAUGGAUUUAAGAAGUU